GAUGAACGCUAGCGGCAGGCUUAACACAUGCAAGUCGAGGGGUAUAGUUCUUCGGAGCUAGAGACCGGCGCACGGGUGCGUAACGCGUAUGCAAUCUACCUUUUGCAGAGGGAUAGCCCAGAGAAAUUUGGAUUAAUACCUCAUGGUAUGUGAGAAUGGCAUCAUUUUCACAUCAAAGCCACAACGGCAAAAGAUGAGCAUGCGUCCCAUUAGCUAGUUGGUAAGGUAACGGCUUACCAAGGCAACGAUGGGUAGGGGUCCUGAGAGGGAGAUCCCCCACACUGGUACUGAGACACGGACCAGACUCCUACGGGAGGCAGCAGUGAGGAAUAUUGGACAAUGGGCGCAAGCCUGAUCCAGCCAUGCCGCGUGCAGGAUGACGGUCCUAUGGAUUGUAAACUGCUUUUGUACAGGAAGAAACACUGGUUCGUGAACCAGCUUGACGGUACUGUAAGAAUAAGGAUCGGCUAACUCCGUGCCAGCCGCCGCCGUAA
rnacentral:rRNA from 1 species